GACGAAGAGAGAGCAGUAGGAGUAGCAGUGUUGUCUGUGGUGAUCCAUGUUUCCGUCAGUGCCAAGAAGUCGAGGGACUGGAGGGAGGCAUAGGCUGAGAUGAACUCUGCCUUGUUGGCCGCAGAUCGGCAGUUCCAGAGGCUACCGGAGACCUGGAACUCCACGUGGGUCGUGCGCGCUGGGACCACCAGAUUAGGGUGGCCGCGGCCACGCGGUGUGGAGCAUUUGUAUGGUCUGUGCAGAGAGGAGAGAACAGGGAUAGACAGACACAUAGUUGACAGGCUACACAAGAGGCUACGCUAAUGCAAAGGAGAUUGGAAUGACAAGUGGACUACACGUCUCGAGUGUUCAGUAAGGACUACAAAUAGCUGGCUAGCUAACCUCGGUAAAUUAAGAUAAUCACUCUAAAACUACACACUCUAAACUACACAAUUAUCUUGGAUACGAAGACAGCAAAGACAACUAUGUAGCUAGCUAACACUACACUAAUCAAGACGUUCAGUUGAGUGUAAUAGUUGUGCUGCUAAUCGGUAGACGGUGGACUAGCUAACGGUGGACGUUAGCUAGCUGGCUAGCUGCAGGGCAGUGUAGACUGCGUUAGGACGACGAAAUACGAUAAUUACGCAAUUAUCUAUGAUACAAAGACGGCUAUGUAGCUAGCUAAGAAGAAAUUGCUAAGAUUAGACAAAUCUUCUGAGUUUGGCUGGUGUAGGCACUCAUUGUAAAUAAUAAUUUGUUGUUAAAUGACUUGCCUAGAAUAAUAAUGGUUAAAUAAAUAAAAAUAUAUAUGACCAUGGUUUGUUUUCAUUUGGCCUUUUUAGCAUAGCUCUGUUCUGCCCUGCCUUGCCCCCUUGUGGAGCUCAAAAGUUACUGUUUCUUACUGUUAUAACUCAAACUUGUGAUUUUGUCAAUGCAAUAUACUACUCUUUAUAGCAGUGUUUAUUAUGUUACUUCUUUGUAGUAUUGUUUUAUUGCUAUAUCCUUAUAUUGUAUUCUAGUGAAUAAUUCCUCUUUAUUCUGUACUUUCAGAAACCACAAACAGUACUGGCCAAUAUCAGAACUGGAACUGGAGCUGGACACCUUUGGAGCUGAAGAUUGAGGACAGCUUUGUCUGCUAGUGUACACUCCUUAACAGUCUACCUGGAUGGAAACAUAGCAAUAAAACACACAGACCAAUAUGUAAUAGCCAUCUCUUUUAUUGCAGGAUUGGUGGAGGUUGGUUCAAUAACAACAACAAAAACAUGUUUUACUUGAGGAAAAAAAAAUAUAUUUUAUGUUCAAGGAAAGACUGAACUACAACUGCAUUUCCACCCCCACCUCUAAAGGCAUAGUAUCAUGGCUGGUCACCUGUCAAGUCACCUAUCAGACAGGCAGACUUUGCAGUGCCUCCGUGUGUGACUACCUUGAGCAGCAGUUUGGGGGACUUUGAAGGGAAAAUGCUAUGCAGUGAAGCGUAGGGGAUUGUCUGCAGCAGGACGACUCCCAGUGGAUGGGCGCCGAGGGGUGUGGUGCUCUUCCAGCAGCUCUCUCAUGAGGUUCUCUCUGUACUUUUGGUGGUCCACCUUCCCUGUGGCCGACAUGGUUGCUGUAUGGACAGUGGAGAGGAUAUGGACGUCUCGCUUGUCAUGCCACUUUACUGCCAGCUGUUGACCGUUCUCCUUGAACUCCACCUCCCCUCUCUGCAUCUUCCUGCAUCCGAAUGCCGGCAUCCCCUUCCUGUUCGACCUGACUGUGCAACAGGCCCCUGUGCUGUUGGAGAGCAGAUGCUGGAAGUGUGUGGGGCUGCUGUACCAAUUGUCCACAUACAAAGUGUGUGACAUCGCAGCAGAACUAGGAAGCGGUCUUGGGAAAAGAGGGUGGCAAAGAAGGGAGAUGCAAAAAUAGGAUCUGUGCUCCAGUAUUCUCUUAGAGAGUUAUGCUUUACUAUCUCCAUGAGAACGACUGUCACCAGGAAGGUAUACAUUUCACUAAUUGUAGUUAUCACCCAUUUAGCAAGACCCCCCCCCCCCCCCCCCCCCCCCCCCCCGAUUGGUCUCUACUAUGUCUCCUACCAGCUCCUCUGUCAGAAACAACUUGAGGCACUUUGCCUCAGAUGGAAAUGGCAAGGGGCGUUGCACUCCAGACUGGGACUCAUCAAAGCAAACAGCAGGGCCAGGAGGGGUGAAAUGGCUGUCAGACUUCCAGCUACCACAGAACUCCUGUACUUCAUCCACUGUCUGUCUGCCUCCAUCACCACCAGCAUCUUCAAAGGGAACUGGGACUUCAUCAGUGGACAAGGGGUCCUCAGAUUCAGGGUUCUCAAUGGCUACAAGGUUGGGGGGGCAUCUUGUCACUGUCACUGUCAGAAUCUGCUUUCUGACUUUCAUACUCAAACUUAUGAACUUAACUUGUCAGAAUUUUAAAAAAUCUCCAGAAUUUGUGAGUUGUCUCCUUUUAAAAGACAUUGCUAAUGUUACAGCUUAGCUUACUAGCUACAUACAUAAACAACAGUGAAAGGUUACGUGAUUGACUGCCGGCACGCGCCACUUGUAUCAAUAAAUCACU